CAUCUAAAAAUGGUAACAUUAAAGCUUCAAAAGAAAAUUUUUAAAACUGAAUAUACCUGGGGAUCAGAAACGAUGCAGCAGAAGUUUGGAUUCAUAUUCAAAUUGACAGAUACUAUUGAAAUGUUAUUUUACCUUUAAGUAAUCUGGACGAAAUAACUGCGUAAUUGCUGAAUUUUUCAGAAAUAUUUCAGUAAUAAUUAAUGCUACUAGAUAAAUCUCUGAAAAAUAUUAGUAUAAUUUAACAUAAAUACAUACCUUUAACACAAUAGUAUAAUUAAACAUAAAAGCAUACACAAGCACAAACUGUACAAAAAAAAACUGAACAACAACACUGCUACUGUACAAUUCCAAUCCAUUGGCUAAAUUGCAGAAAUCAAAAUAAUAUUGCAUUCACAUUCGUUUUUUUGAUGUGGAAGGCAAACAGUCAUCUAAUUCAAUGUCUAAUUUUCGUUUUCUACGUUCUGCGAUUAAGUCUUUUAAUGUUUUCACUGGACUUUUCUCAGAUUCAUUAACAGUAGAUUUGUGCAUAAUAUUCUUUGCUGCUGCUUCAGCAUAUGUUGCUAAGGAAGGAUUUUCUAAAAAUGAAGUAAGAUUGUUUCUCUUAAAGCAUUGUUCGGAAACAUGGUCUAUAUGAGUUGAAACAUAUUUUGCUGCCUUUAAAUGCAGACCCAUUGAAAACAUUGAUGCUCCUUAUGUAUAAAAGAAUCAAUUUAGCUGUCGUAGAGUUCACCCUUUUUCUUCAGAGAACUUAGCAGAAUUUUGAUUUCUUUUGCCGUUUGUUUAACAUCAGUUUCCUUUUCAAUUUUAUCCAUAUGUUUGAUCGUAACGUUUUAGGAUUUCGCCAAAUUCUGUAAAAAAAAGUUCGAACGAGAUAUCUGAAAGGUCGUUUGAAAUUAUUUUCCAGUUCUUUGUUGUUGUCUCAGUAAGUUUACUAAGAGCAAUCCCAGGAUGAGUAAGCCACUCGCAUGUAAAAUUUUUUAAUUUCAUUUUAAAAUC